rnacentral:rRNA from 1 species
AAGUCGUAACAAGGUUUCCGUAGGUGAACCUGCGGAAGGAUCAUUACUGAAGUUGAUUUAUAGCUUUGAAAAAUCCCACAAGGACGCUUCAAAGUCUAUAUUUUUAUCUUUCAUCCUAUCCACUGUGAAUUUUUAUUCAACUAUAAAAUCGGACGGCAAACAUUGUUUUGCUGGUCGAGGACGAUCUUAACCGAUCGGACGAAUUACAACCAUUUUUAUAUGCACAAUGAAGAGAAUGCAAAGAUUAUUUAAAAAAUAAUAAAAAACUUUCAGUGACGGAUCUCUUGGCUCUCGCAUCGAUGAAGAACGCAGCAAACUGCGAUACGUAAUGUGAAUUGCGGAAAUCAGUGAAUCAUCGAAUCUUUGAACGCACCUUGCGCUUUGGGGCACUCCUCAAAGCAUGCCUGUUUGAGUGUCAUGUAACUUCUCAAAAACAUCAUGUUAUGCAAAUAAUAUUGAUUGUCUUUUGGAUCGUGGUUGCUGCUGUGUCUUUGGACUACAGCUCGACUGAAAUUGAAAUAGCAGCUCUGUACUUCUAAAAACAUGAGGUCAAAGGGUCUGUUGCAACUCAUCGGCGUGAUAAUUUGUUACGCAGAUGCUCUGUCUUGCUUCAGAAAAAAGCUCUUUGAUUUUAUUGGAUUUACUAUGGGUUUUAUGCUUCGAAAGUUUUGUUAACCAUUACAAAUUUCGACCUCAAAUCAGGUAGGACUACCCGCUGGACUUA